GACGAACGCUGGCGGCGUGCUUAACACAUGCCAGUCGAACGGAAAGGCCUGCUUUCCCUUGUGGAUUGCGGGUACUCGAGUGGCGAACGGGUGAGUAACACGUGAGUGAUCUGCCCCCAACUUGGGUAUAAGCCUGGGAAACUGGGUCUAAUUCCCGAUAGGACUGCAGGGUGGUGCCUGUGGUGGAAAACAAUUUUCUAGUGGUUGGGGAUGAGCUCGCGGCCUAUCAGCUUGUUGGUGGGGUAAUGGCCUACCAAGGCGGCGACGGGUAGCCGGCCUGAGAGGGUGGACGGCCACAUUGGGACUGAGAUACGGCCCAGACUCCUACGGGAGGCAGCAGUGGGGAAUAUUGCACAAUGGGCGGAAGCCUGAUGCAGCGACGCCGCGUGGGGGAUGACGGCCUUCGGGUUGUAAACUCCUUUCGACCGCGAGGAAGCCACCUGGUUGGAAGGGUGGUGACGGUAGUGGUAGAAGAAGCACCGGCUAACUACGUG
rnacentral:rRNA from 1 species